AUAUCAGUCAUGCAUAGCAUAUCAAUAAGCGGAGGAAAAGUAACUAACAAGGAUUCCCUUAGUAACGGCGAGUGAAGCGGGAAGAGCUCAAAUUUGAAAUCUUCAAGGUUUUACCUUGACGAAUUGUAGUUUAAAGAAGUGUUUUCUGUUGAAGUUUUGGUAAAAGUUCUUUGGAAUAGGACAUCAUAGAGGGUGAGAAUCCCGUAUUUGACCAUUACUUUCAGCUUUGUGAUACACUUUCAAAGAGUCGGAUUGUUUGGGAAUGCAGUCCAAAAUGGGUGGUAAAUUUCAUCUAAAGCUAAAUAUUGGCGAGAGACCGAUAGCGAACAAGUACCGUGAGGGAAAGAUGAAAAGAACUUUGAAAAGAGAGUUAAACAGUACGUGAAAUUGUCAAAAGGGAAGCGUUUGACACCAGUGUUGUUUUCUCGAAAAUCAAUUAAAAAGAGUUGGAUUUUGUGUUGUAUUGACUUUAUCAGCUUUCUUCACUCUUUUCCAGCUUUUUUUAAUGCACUUUUCGUUUAACAAGUCAACAUCAGUUUCUUUUGUUGUAAAAAGGUCAUUGGAAGGUGGCUUUCUCUUCGGAGAAAGUGUUUAUAGCCUUUGACUCAUGCAAUCGGAGAGACUGAGGUCUGCAGCGUAGAUCCUUCGGGGUUAGAUACAUUUGUGCUAAGUUAUAGCUUUUCAUAGACAACUUGUUGACUAUGUUUAGUCUUGUAGCUUACUCGCUUAUGCUAUUUUACCUACGCUUAGGAUGUUGAACUCUAUCACACACAG
rnacentral:rRNA from 1 species